rnacentral:rRNA from 1 species
GACGAACGCUAGCGGCAGGCUUAACACAUGCAAGUCGAGGGGUAUAGUUCUUCGGAACUAGAGACCGGCGCACGGGUGCGUAACGCGUAUGCAAUCUAGCUUUUACAGGGGGAUAGCCCAGAGAAAUUUGGAUUAAUACCCCAUAGUAUGUUAGAGUGGCAUCAUUUUAACAUUAAAGUUCCAACGGUAAAAGAUGAGCAUGCGUCCCAUUAGCUAGAUGGUAAGGUAACGGCUUACCAUGGCGACGAUGGGUAGGGGUCCUGAGAGGGAGAUCCCCCACACUGGUAGUGAGACACGGACCAGACUCCUACGGGAGGCAGCAGUGAGGAAUAUUGGACAAUGGGCGCAAGCCUGAUCCAGCCAUGCCGCGUGCAGGAAGACGGUCCUAUGGAUUGUAAACUGCUUUUGUACAGGAAGAAACACUCCCUCGUGAGGGAGCUUGACGGUACUGUAAGAAUAAGGAUCGGCUAACUCCGUGCCAGCCGCCGCAGUAAGAC